GUUCAAUGUCGGCUUCUUUAGCUGCUUUCGAGCGGCCGAGAGCUGGAGCUUCCAAUAAGGUUUUCAAGAGUGGGCCGCUUUUCAUAUCUUCAAAAGGAUUAGGCUGGAAAUCAUGGAAGAAACGGUGGUUUAUCUUGACACGCACUUCCUUGGUGUUCUUUAAAAAUGAUCCUAGUGCUUUACCGCAAAGAGGUGGUGAAGUAAAUUUAACUUUGGGAGGAAUUGAUUUAAACAAUUCAGGAAGUGUCGUUGUUAGGGAGGAUAAAAAGUUGUUAACUGUCUUGUUUCCUGAUGGACGUGA
rnacentral:misc_RNA from 1 species